rnacentral:ncRNA from 2 species
GGGUGUUCGUACCAAUUCCGGUACGGCAGGAUGCGCGAUGGUCGGGCCGCCACG